rnacentral:rRNA from 1 species
CCCUUAGAUGUCCGGGGCCGCACGCGCGCUACACUGAAGGAAUCAGCGUGGCUUUCUCCCUGACCCGAAAGGGUUGGGAAACCCGUUGAAUCUCCUUCGUGAUAGGGAUUGGGGCUUGAAAUUGUUCCCCAUGAACGAGGAAUUCCCAGUAAGCGCGAGUCAUAAGCUCGCGUUGAUUACGUCCCUGCCCUUUGUACACACCGCCCGUCGCUACUACCGAUUGCACGGUUUAGUGAGGGCCUCGGAUUGGUCUCGGCCCGCUCUUUACCGGGCGGCGCCGUUGGUCGAGAAGACGCUCGAACUUGAUCGUUUAGAGGAAGUAAAAGUCGUAACA